rnacentral:rRNA from 1 species
UGGGGAAUAUUGCACAAUGGGGGAAACCCUGAUGCAGCGACGCCGCGUGAGCGAAGAAGGAUUUCGAAUCGUAAAGCUCUGUCCUAUGAGAAGAUAAUGACGGUAGCAUAGGAGGAAGCCCCGGCUAAAUACGUGCCAGCAGCCGCGGUAAUACGUAGGGGGCGAGCGUUGUCCGGAAUUAUUGGGCGUAAAGGGUACGUAGGCGGUCUAUUAAGUCAGGUGUGAAAGCGUGAGGCUUAACCUCAUUAAGCACUUGAAACUGAUAGACUUGAGUGAAGGAGAGGGAAGUGGAAUUCCUAGUGUAUCGGUGAAAUGCGUAGAUAUUAGGUGGAAUACCGGUGGCGAAGGCGACUUUCUGGACUUUUACUGACGCUCGGGUACGAAGGCGUGGGGAGCAAACAGG